CUUAAGAAAAUUUAACACCUUGAGUUGGUCUGGUGGAAUUAUCUCUGGCCUCCUCCCUGUAUCCAGUUACAGUAAUAAAUUCUCUUCUUUCCUAGUUUGUCUGCUUCUUGUUAUUGGGCCUCGAGAAAAUGCAGCCGGACCUGGCUUGGUUCCAGGAACAACAAGAAUAAAGGCAAUCCAUGAUGAUUUUGAUGAAGUAGUCCACGAACCAUACUUGGCAAAAUUCUGAUGAAAACACCUCACAUUACUGUGCCAUUAAUUUAAUGCCCACCAUGGAGAACUCUAGGACAUCUGGAUUGUCUCUGUUAAGGUAAUUACUCAAAAGUGACUGGUCCUUCCCUCCCACCUAAGAUCACAGUUUGCUUUCCCAUAUGAGUUCAUUGUUAAUCUCCAGAGUAUUCUGACUUGCUGGGUUCCCACCACACAUGUUGUCGUGAGCUCACUACACACCCUGUCCCUGGAGCAUUGGGAUGCAGCCUGGAGCCAGGAAGAUGACAGUGUUGUGCACAGCUCUGCACUGGUAAUGCACUAUGCAUGAGUCGCCCUCAGGACCUUGUGUUACUGCUGCUGGUUGGCUGGCCAGGCACUGCUGGAUACAGCAAGGGCACUGGCGAUAGCAGGCAGCAGCUUCAGUCCACACCUGCCAACUUCAGCCUAGCCAAGGGCACCCACAUCAGCACGUCCACAGCCUGAGGUCCCCUGGGUUCCACCAAGGACCUCUAAUGCAAGCUGAUAUGGGGCCCUGUGGCCAGCAGGGACCCCUACUAGACCAUCCAGACUUUGCACUAUAAAUCUUACUCAAGGCACCAUACCUGCUGAUAACAGGACCUUAAAGAAGUUAAGAUAUGCAACACUCCAACCAUAAAUCUUCCCCAAGGCAGUUGACCCUAACAUCCACAUGCACAGGAAACCCCAGAAUGGCCACUAUAUGACCUUCCUGGGCCAGCAGUAGUGAGCAACACCACUAUCUUGAACCCACUGAGCAUGGACCAAGACUUCAACCAGGACCAAGCAUGCACAGACACCAUAACAGGAAGGAAGAAAUCACUCCAGGAGGCAGAGGUUCCUGAUGUCAAUCUCUGUACCCUACCCAAUAAAAAACGCUGAGAAGCUCCCCUUGGGGAGCCAGCUGGAGGACUCU
rnacentral:lncRNA from 10 species